AUUCCCUUUCGCCGCCCGAUCGAACAUAAUACGGCCCCGGUUUGCCACCGGGAAUCAGGAGAGUUCAUGUAC
rnacentral:sRNA from 1 species